rnacentral:rRNA from 1 species
UACGGAGGGCGCAAGCGUUGUUCGGAAUCACUGGGCGUAAAGCGCGUGUAGGCGGCCGGGCAAGUCGGAUGUGAAAUCCCGAGGCUCAACCUCGGAACUGCACUCGAAACUGCUCGGCUCGAGUCCCGGAGAGGAUGGCGGAAUUCCCGGUGUAGGGGUGAAAUCCGUAGAGAUCGGGAGGAACACCAGUGGCGAAGGCGGCCAUCUGGACGGUGACUGACGAUGAGACGCGAAAGCGUGGGGAGCAAACAGG